AUGAUUCUCGAAGAUGAGAGAGGCAUGAACUUGGAGUUCUUCUAUGACAAUGUGGGUAGCCGUGUGAAACCAGGUAGAGACUCUAAUCGUAUUAGAGCUUUUCUUCAGACCUACAAGGAGAUUGAAAAUGCAAACACCCACUUUCAGCUUCAGGAGGAUCUCAUUGAGCACCAUUGGCGAAGGGCUGGACAGUAA
rnacentral:rRNA from 1 species